UACGUAGGGUGCAAGCGUUGUCCGGAAUUAUUGGGCGUAAAGAGCUCGUAGGCGGUUUGUCACGUCGGAUGUGAAAACCCGAGGCUUAACCUCGGGCCUGCAUUCGAUACGGGCUGACUAGAGUUCGGUAGGGGAGGCUGGAAUUCCUGGUGUAGCGGUGAAAUGCGCAGAUAUCAGGAGGAACACCGAUGGCGAAGGCAGGUCUCUGGGCUGACACUGACGCUCAUGCACGAAAGCGUGGGGAGCAAACAGG
rnacentral:rRNA from 1 species